rnacentral:rRNA from 1 species
GACGAACGCUGGCGGCGUGCUUAACACAAGCAAGUCGAACGAUGAAGCCGGAGCUUGCUCUGGUGAAUUAGUGGCGAACGGGUGAGUAACAUGUGAGUAACCUGCCCUUGACUCUGGGAUAACUGCGGGAAACUGUAGCUAAUACCGGAUACGACACCUUGGGGCAUCCCAGGGUGUGGAAAGAAUUUCGGUCAAGGAUGAGCUCGCGGCCUAUCAGCUAGUUGGUGAGGUAAUGGCUCACCAAGGCGACGACGGGUAGCCGGCCUGAGAGGGUGACCGGCCACACUGGAACUGAGACACGGUCCAGACUCCUACGGGAGGCAGCAGUGGGGAAUAUUGCACAAUGGGCGAAAGCCUGAUGCAGUAACGCCGCGUGAGGGAUGAAGGCCUUCGGGUUGUAAACCUCUUUUAGCAGGGAAGAAGCGAAAGUGACGGUACCUGCAGAAAAAGCACCGGCUAACUACGUGCCAGCCGCCGCUGUAA